GAUGAAGAACGUAGUGAAAUGCGAUACGUAAUGUGAAUUGCAGAAUUCAGUGAAUCAUCGAAUCUUUGAACGCAUAUUGCGCUCUCUGGUAUUCCGGAGAGCAUGCUUGUUUGAGUAUCAGUAAACACCUCAACUUCCAUAUCUUUUUUGAAAUGGGAGUUGGACUUGAGUGAUCCCAACGCUUUUCCUCACCGAAAAGUGGCGGGUUACUUGAAAUGCAGGUGCAGCUGGACUUUUCUCUGAGCUAUAAGCAUAUCUAUUUAGUCUGCCUAAAAAACAGAUUAUUACCUUUGCUGCAGCUAACAUAAAGGAGAUUAGUUCUUGUGCUGACUGAUGCAGGAUUCACAAAGACGGCUUCGGCCGACUUUGUAAACUCGAUCUCAAAUCAAGUAAGACUACCCGCUGAACUUAAGCAUAUCCAUAAGCGGAGGA
rnacentral:misc_RNA from 1 species